rnacentral:rRNA from 1 species
UACGGGGGGAGCAAGCGUUGUUCGGAUUUACUGGGCGUAAAGGGCGCGUAGGCGGCGUGACAAGUCACUUGUGAAAUCUCCGGGCUUAACCCGGAGCGGCCAAGUGAUACUGUCGUGCUAGAGUGCGGAAGGGGCUACUGGAAUUCUCGGUGUAGCGGUGAAAUGCGUAGAUAUCGAGAGGAACACCUGCGGCGAAGGCGGCGAUCUGGGUAGAUACUGACGCUGAGGUGCGAAAGCGUGGGGAGCAAACAGG